CGCCCGGCAGGGGGCAGCCGCCCUCCCGCAGCGCCGCCCGGACCCGGAGCCGGGCUGUAACGGCGCGAGGCGGGGCGCGCGGACGCGGGGCAGCGGGAAACGAGCGCGUGCCCGGCCUUCCCGCCGCUGCUGCUGCUGCGGCGGCACGGGGGGGGAGAAGGCGGGAAAGGAGGGCGGGAGCGCCGCCCUGGGCUCAGCGCACGCCCUUGUAAAUCACACCCUGGUGCAGAACUUCGCGUUCGCUUUUUGGCUGUUGCUUCGCUCACACGUGUCGUCUGGCGCUACUAGAGCUAGCAGAUGACAGCGUGACGGUUAGCCGCAUUUCCCGGCCUUCCGGGCAGCUGCUUCAGCAAAAGUAACAAAACCCGUAGCAACUCGCGUUGGCGGCAGCACUGGGGCGCGGCCUGUGGAAACCUCCGCACCUCCCGUACCGGUAAUGGCUGCAGGCGCGUCGGGGACAGAAGCGACGGGCAACGCUGGUGGAGCCGGGAGCGCAGGAGGGGCCGGCGCCGCCCGCGUGCCGUAUGGGAUCCCCGCAGCCGGGCUGAGGCAAGUUCUGGACGUUACUUUUGGUCAAUGCCUGUGAAAACCGUUCUCUCUAGAAAAUCCUGUGCAUGGAAUUACGGCAUCUCCAUAAUUGCUGUGAAAUCAUCUCAUCUACUUAUUCUGGAAGAAGCUGGAGGUGACAGCCACCUGCUGCCACAGAGCAACUCCGAGCCAGAACCACUCCUGAGCACCGGAUGGGAACUGUUAUCACGUAUUUGAAGACAGGUUGCUGAGAAGAGGUGGGACAGGGCCCAGGAACCCUGCAGGUGACACACGUACCUCCUGUACUGAGUACUGGCCUCAAAUGACUCAGCCACUUGGAAUGUCCACAAUCACAAGCAAGGCACCCACCUUUGUAGCUGAAGAAAGCUCAUAACGGAGAAAGACACGUGGUAGAGGGUUUCUUUCGCCGGGAGAUCCUCACCAAUUACAUUAUGCAAGCAGUCUGCACGUGAAGUUGUACCACCUGAUCAAGUUUGGCACCAGACAUGGGAAUUUUAGUAAUUUGAGGAUAAAAGUAUUGAAGAUGACUGAGGGGGAAGACUGAUUCAAAUCCAUCUCUGAAAGAAUCAAACUGUCUGGCAACACCUUCGUUAAGUGCCCAGAAUAUAACCAACUGCAAAGGAACAGCAAAAGAGUUACUUGAAAAAAAAAUGAAGUGCAGAAUGAUCGCAGCUGUACAGAAGACUAGAGCUACAGAAAAACACUCCAGGUGAUAUAUUGAUUUGGCUACUACUGGAUCAAUACUGAACAAGUCAUGUGACGUCAAAGAAGUUUCCUGGCGUAACAUCCAUUUAUAAAAAGGAAGUCCAAGAGGAAGAUCCACCUGUGAAUCAAAAGAUUUAGUACGAAACUGUUAGUCUUUAAAAAUGAGACCUUUCAUGGUUUUCUCUUGACUAUGUCUAGAUUUAUUUAGUUAGUAAUUCAUACUUCUCUCACAUACCAAAAUGGUGUUUUUACCCAAGAUAUUUACCACUGCGGAAACAGAACUGACUGCUUAGAACAUAUGCAUUAGAUUGUCCAGCAAGUUAUCAGGAAGUAUAAUAAUGAUUCCAAAGUGACCCUGAAAUAAGACUGGAAAGACUGCAACACGUGGUAGGCAUUUGCUCAUCCCUUCCCCAUUGUCUUAAAGUUACUGUAAAGCUCUUCAAUACGCACUACCCUUUUCCCAUUAAAAAGCUCAACUGCAAUUCUCCACCUAAAGUACUAGAGCUGAAAAUACUUCCUUGCAACUUUAACGCUACAUUUUUCUCUCCAGUUAAAAAAAAUAAAACAACCUAUUUCCCACUUAAACCCUUCAGAAUCACAUUUUCUGUUUUAAACUCACCAGUCUAAAAUCCAUGAUUGCCUUAGCCAUUAGUUUUCCCAGAAAGCGGAACUUCAUUUUAACUUUUGCAAUGUGAGCAGGCUUGGCUGUUCUACCAAAAGGAAGUGCAAAAAGGCCUUGGAGAUUAUGAAUAUACUUGGUACCUUCUUGGCUUCCUAGAUAGGAAGAGAAAGGGAGAGAAGGGAAAUAAGUUCAACAUAUACGCUGAUAUAUUCAUUCUAGACAAGAAGCUACCACAUUACAGCCUGAAACACAUAGUAAAAUUGAAAGAUAGAAUUUACAGACUUACAAUCAAUAUAAGAACAAAGUUGAUAAUUCAGAGGUAGUAAAACAUUUACCUUUUGGAUUGGCUAAAGUUACUUCUUCUCCCCUCCAAAGGCCCAAGUCUGCUCUCUGUAGUUCCUGAGAUACAAGUGCAUAGAACUCUAGUGUAGGGCCCAGGCCUGUGCCAACCUUCAAAGGAGAAAGCAGAAUGCAGGGGGGAAAAGGAAAGAUGUGGGGGGAGAAAAAUAAGUAAGUAAAUAGGAGUCCAUUAGAUCAGUUUGAGUAUCUAAAUUCUUACUUACACUGAGAAAUAUAACACACAAAGAGCUAAGACUGCACUGCAAAAAGCCUCUAGAGAGUGUAACUACACUAACAACAUUUACAAGACAACUGAAAUAGCUUAGCAAGACCACAAAUCAGAGUGAAUAACAAAAAUAAUGGGAAGUAGUAUUUACCACCUAAUGAUUGUAUAAGAAAUGCAGCUUCACCCCAAGUUAAAAAAUACAUUCUUCACAAUAGGACUGAUCAUGAAAUUUAGCACAACAGAUCAGAAAGUUUCUUCUAGCAACAAAAAACCAUAACCAAGUGAAGGAGGGAUAAUUAAGAAUUUUGCAGAACAGCAAUGGGAAGGAUCAAGAGUCUGACUGGGUCAUUCUAGGAAAGUUGUAGCUUUUUUUAUUAAUCUUCAUUAAAAAGGAGUUAAAUUAGACUGCAUUGACAUUACUUACUUCAUUCUCAUACUGGAUUUCCAACAUGGCUCUUGAACUGCCUAGAUCCUGCAUCACAGAUUCUGCCUGUUUCAACAGCUCAUCUCUG
rnacentral:lncRNA from 1 species